CCCUGUCUCACUGUCUCCUUCC
rnacentral:miRNA from 1 species